rnacentral:rRNA from 1 species
GGAAUAUUGCACAAUGGGGGAAACCCUGAUGCAGCAACGCCGCGUGAGUGAAGAAGUAUUUCGGUAUGUAAAGCUCUAUCAGCAGGGAAGAAGAAAGACGGUACCUGACUAACAAGCCCCGGCUAACUACGUGCCAGCAGCCGCGGUAAUACGUAGGGGGCAAGCGUUAUCCGGAUUUACUGGGUGUAAAGGGAGCGUAGACGGCAUGGCAAGUCUGAAGUGAAAGCCCGUGGCUCAACCGCGGAACUGCUUUGGAAACUGUUAAGCUGGGGUACUGGAGAGGCAAGCGGAAUUCCUAGUGUAGCGGUGAAAUGCGUAGAUAUUAGGAGGAACACCAGUGGCGAAGGCGGCUUGCUGGACAGAGACUGACGUUGAGGCUCGAAAGCGUGGGUAUCGAA